rnacentral:rRNA from 1 species
AACGAACGCUGGCGGCAUGCCUAACACAUGCAAGUCGAACGAGACCUUCGGGUCUAGUGGCGCACGGGUGCGUAACGCGUGGGAACCUGCCCUUAGGUUCGGAAGAACUCCCCGAAAGGGGUGCUAAUACCGGAUAAUUUCUUCGGACCAGAGAUUUAUCGCCUUUGGAUAGGCCCGCGUUGGAUUAGCUAGUUGGUAGGGUAAAAGCCUACCAAGGCGACGAUCCAUAGCUGGUCUGAGAGGAUGAUCAGCCACACUGGGACUGAGACACGGCCCAGACUCCUACGGGAGGCAGCAGUGGGGAAUAUUGGACAAUGGGCGAAAGCCUGAUCCAGCAAUGCCGCGUGAGUGAUGAAGGCCUUAGGGUUGUAAAGCUCUUUUACCCGGGAUGAUAAUGACAGUACCGGGAGAAUAAGCCCCGGCUAACUCCGUG